rnacentral:rRNA from 1 species
AGCAGCCGCGGUAAUUCCAGCUCCAAUAGCGUAUAUUAAAGUUGCUGCAGUUAAAAAGCUCGUAGUUGAAUUUCGGGGUUUAUCCGUUGGUCGGGCUUUUUGGUCUGUACUGGCGUGAUGGAUUCCUACCUUCUGAAUAACCGGCAUGCCAUUAAUUUGGUGCGCCGGGGAAGCAGGACUGUUACCUUGAAAAAAUUAGAGUGCUUAAAGCAGGCUUAUGCCUGAAUACAUUAGCAUGGAAUAAUGAAAUAGGACGGCAUGGUUCUAUUUUGUUGGUUUCUAGGAUCACCGUAAUGAUUAAUGGGGAUAGUUGGGGGCAUUAGUAUUCAAUUGUCAGAGGUGAAAUUCUUGGAUUUAUUGAAGACUAACUUCUGCGAAAGCAUUUGCCAAGGAUGUUUUCAUUAAUCAAGAACGAAAGUUAGGGGAUCGAAGACGAUCAGAUACCGUCGUAGUCUUAACCAUAAACUAUGCCGACUAGGGAUCGGACGAUGUUAAUUUUUAUAAUGACUCGUUCGGCGCC